rnacentral:rRNA from 1 species
GACGAACGCUGGCAGCGUGCUUAACACAUGCCAGUCGAACGGAAAGGCCCUGCUUGCAGGGUACUCGAGUGGCGAACGGGUGAGUAACACGUGGGUGAUCUGCCCUGCACUUCGGGAUAAGCCUGGGAAACUGGGUCUAAUACCGGAUAGGAGCCAUUUUUAGUGUGAUGGUUGGAAAGUUUUUUCGGUGUAGGAUGAGCUCGCGGCCUAUCAGCUUGUUGGUGGGGUAAUGGCCUACCAAGGCGGCGACGGGUAGCCGGCCUGAGAGGGUGGACGGCCACAUUGGGACUGAGAUACGGCCCAGACUCCUACGGGAGGCAGCAGUGGGGAAUAUUGCACAAUGGGCGCAAGCCUGAUGCAGCGACGCCGCGUGGGGGAUGACGGCCUUCGGGUUGUAAACUCCUUUCGCUAGGGACGAAGCUCUUUGUGACGGUACCUAGAUAAGAAGCACCGGCUAACUACGUG